UCUGAUUUAAAAAAUCAUAAAGUACUAUAAUAUACCUAGUUGUUAUUCAUUAAAUAUUAGAGGAUUAAAACAAAUUUGUUUUAUUUUUUUGUUAUUAAAUUUUGUUAUUAAAUUUUGUUAGUGCAUAAAGUAGUUGUAUAAAAUUAAUGUUGUUUUUUUUUCAUUUUUAUGACUGGUAGUAUUUUAGAUUCUGAGCAAAGCAAGAAAUGUAUUAGUUUUACAAUAAUGUUUUAUUUUUUAUAUAUAUAUAUAUACUGUAUACAAAAUUUCUACCAAUAAUCUUACUCCGAUAUUCAAGUGUACCAUUUUUGCUGAAAGGAAAUUUUCCUGGAGUGAUACUUUAAGGAAGUCAUUUUUUGAUUUUCGUAGCAAUUUUCAUAAUAAUUGAGAAAAACUUAAAAAUUUAAGAAAUUAAUGCUUUUAUUAUUUUCAAUUUU